rnacentral:tRNA from 1 species
GAGGGUAUAGCUCAAGUGGUAGAGUACAUGCUUAGCAUGAGCAAGGUUCUGGGUUCAAUCCCCAGUGUCUCCU